UGCGGAAGAGUUCGUCUCAGACGAGCACCGAAGGAGCAUGCGUCCCCGCUAACCUCUCAGGUCACAGGACCGCAUC
rnacentral:ncRNA from 1 species